UACGUAGGGGGCAAGCGUUGUCCGGAUUUAUUGGGCGUAAAGAGCGUGUAGGCGGCCACACAGGUCCGCUGUGAAAACUCGAGGCUCAACCUCGAGCUGUCGGUGGAAACCGUGUGGCUAGAGUCCGGAAGAGGAGAGUGGAAUUCCCGGUGUAGCGGUGAAAUGCGCAGAUAUCGGGAAGAACACCCGUGGCGAAGGCGGCUCUCUGGGACGGUACUGACGCUGAGACGCGAAGGCGUGGGGAGCGAACAGG
rnacentral:rRNA from 1 species